UGGGAGUAACUUACGGGUAAACGUACGGAGCUAAUACCGGAUAAUAUAUUGAACCGCAUGGUUCAAUAGUGAAAGACGGUUUUGCUGUCACUUAUAGAUGGAUCCGCGCCGCAUUAGCUAGUUGGUAAGGUAACGGCUUACCAAGGCAACGAUGCGUAGCCGACCUGAGAGGGUGAUCGGCCACACUGGAACUGAGACACGGUCCAG
rnacentral:rRNA from 1 species